GUACUAUGGCUCAGGACGAACGCUGGCGGCGUGCUUAACACAUGCAAGUCGAGCGAUGAGGCUCUUCGGAAGUGGAUUAGCGGCGGACGGGUGAGUAACACGUGGGUAACCUGCCUCAUAGAGGGGAAUAGCCUUCCGAAAGGAAGAUUAAUACCGCAUAAGAUUGUAAUAUCGCAUGAUAUAGCAAUUAAAGGAGUAAUCCGCUAUGAGAUGGACCCGCGUCGCAUUAGCUAGUUGGUGAGGUAACGGCUCACCAAGGCGACGAUGCGUAGCCGACCUGAGAGGGUGAUCGGCCACAUUGGGACUGAGACACGGCCCAGACUCCUACGGGAGGCAGCAGUGGGGAAUAUUGCACAAUGGGGGAAACCCUGAUGCAGCAACGCCCGCGUGAGUGAUGACGGUCUUCGGAUUGUAAAGCUCUGUCUUCAGGGAUGAUAAUGACGGUACCUGAGGAGGAAGCCACGGCUAACUACGUGCCAGCAGCAGC
rnacentral:rRNA from 1 species